CUUUGAAGUGUGGACGCCAGUCUGCAUGGAGCCGGCCUUGAAAUACCACCCUUUAAUGUUUGAUGUUCUAACGUUGACCCGUGAUCCGGGUUGCGGACAGUGUCUGGUGGGUAGUUUGACUGGGGCGGUCUCCUCCUAAAGAGUAACGGAGGAGCACGAAGGUUGGCUAAUCCUGGUCGGACAUCAGGAGGUUAGUGCAAUGGCAUAAGCCAGCUUGACUGCGAGCGUGACGGCGCGAGCAGGUGCGAAAGCAGGUCAUAGUGAUCCGGUGGUUCUGAAUGGAAGGGCCAUCGCUCAACGGAUAAAAGGUACUCCGGGGAUAACAGGCUGAUACCGCCCAAGAGUUCAUAUCGACGGCGGUGUUUGGCACCUCGAUGUCGGCUCAUCACAUCCUGGGGCUGAAGUAGGUCCCAAGGGUAUGGCUGUUCGCCAUUUAAAGUGGUACGCGAGCUGGGUUUAGAACGUCGUGAGACAGUUCGGUCCCUAUCUGCCGUGGGCGCUGGAGAACUGAGGGGGGCUGCUCCUAGUACGAGAGGACCGGAGUGGACGCAUCACUGGUGUUCGGGUUGUCAUGCCAAUGGCACUGCCCGGUAGCUAAAUGCGGAAGAGAUAAGUGCUGAAAGCAUCUAAGCACGAAACUUGCCCCGAGAUGAGUUCUCCCUGACUCCUUGAGAGUCCUGAAGGAACGUUGAAG
rnacentral:rRNA from 1 species